rnacentral:lncRNA from 1 species
CACAGUUCUCAGUACCACCCGCUUAGUAGCACAAUCCAAGCUCACUCAAUGCUUAACCAGCUAGUCCAUUCCCAGAAAUAAAUCAAAUUCUCCAAAAGGAAGUUCCAUCAAAUCUGCCAAAAAGAUAACUCCUUGAACCUCCAAAUGUACAUCUCUGAAUAGUUUAUUUACCCUUACUGACUGCCCCAAUGGACUCAACACAGUAACCUCACU